GUGUUGUCGGUUCUGGUGGUAACGUGGGAAGUAGGGGUGUGCUCGCUUAGGAAAGUGGAAAUUCCUGCCAUGACGUUCCCUUGUAAAUAAUUAUGUCGUAACUUUAGGAGGAAAUGCAUCGAUACUUCGUUUAAAAGAAGUGCGUGGUGUGUCGACAUAUAGCCCGGUUUACUAUAUAAAGAAAAAAAUUCACUAAUAACCGAACCACUUCGUAGCAUCGAAUUGGGAUCCAAAUCAUAGCCAUAACCAAAUGCAUUGGAUCAGCGCAACUGUGAGCCUCGUUCCGAACAAGUCACGUCGAAUUUGACGGAGGCGUCUCAAGAAUCCAUCCUCCCAUUUCUUAGAACAGUUCUUAUCUACAGGCCUCAGCUGCACCCAUUCGACGUCUAAGUCUAUGACCCUCAAAAUUGCAUUCCGGAGAAACCAUAUCGCCUCAGAUGUGGUAAAACUUUCCGAAUAAAAACCCUUGGGAACAAAGUCAAGCUCUGUCACUCUUUUUCAUCCUUUUGUCUGUACUUCUGUCAUAGACACGACCGCCAAAAUUCCGUCCAAGGUGUUCUUCAAGAUGUGGACUCUUCAGAGGCCCAAUAAGGAUCCCGACAAGAAGUGGCUCGUGAACAAAGAGAGUAAGUACUCUUCUCUUCUUCGUCCUGGUAGCAAGAAGAACAAAGAGAAUGAAGCUGCUCGGGACACGACCGUCAUCAACUACCGGACCGUCGACAGGCUCCACGACCGGGUCUCCGAUCGCUUCAUCGACCCCAGGGCCGACCCCAGACUCCUGGUCGAUCCGCGCGUCGACCACAGGAUCCUGGAUCCCCGAUACAUCGAACACCACAGGCUCAUGAUGGAUCCCAGAAUGGGUUCUUUAGACCCCAGGCUUCUGCCACCUCCGAGGAUCUUGGAUCUGGACCAGGAGGUCGAGUGCAAGAACGAACCGCGCAUCGAACCGGAGUACAAACCCAGAGUCGAACCCCCGGACUUCAAGACCCGCCUGGAAGCAGCGCGCGUUGAACCGCGCCUGGAAGCACGCGUCGAACCCCGCCUGGAAUCCAGGCUGGAACCUCGCGCCAACGGCGUCGUCUCUGGAGGUGCUGCCGAUGAGGGCGAUCCCAAGGUCCGCUUGGAGGCCAAACUGGAAUCUCCCCCGCGCGAGGUCCGGCUGAGGGACGGCAGCAAGGACCGCGGGGACCUGCGCAGGACUUUGAAACGCAUGGAAGCGAGGAUGAAUCGCUACGAACCGGACGGAAGGGAUCGGUUCGUCGAGCGCUACGUCGAAGAGGUCUCGAGGUUAACAGAACAGCAAAGCUGUGGUCCUGCCCCGAAGGUGGAAAUGGUGUCUCGUCGACGCAUUCUGGGUCGAUCCCAGGACAACCUCAACGUCGAUCUGCCCUACAUGGAGGACGAGGACGACGUCUGGUACAAGACGGAGAAGCUCUUGAAGGAUCACAUCGCCGAGGUGUUGAUGAAAUGGGAGCAGAUCGACGACGAAAUUUGGGCCAAGGUCAUCGUCCUCGAGAGUAAUCGAAGAGUAGCUAAAGCCUACGCCAGAGUACCUGUCCUCACAGUCAAUGGAUCCGAUGACGGUUUCGAUGGAUACAGAAUUGGUUUAUGUGGGUUUGAAAAUCCAAUGCGUGAUCCACGAACAGAUGACGUCAAAAGACACAUUGGCCAAGGUGUAAAGCUGAAGAUGGACGACCAAGGCAACAUACUGAUAAAAAGGGUAUCCAAAGCUGGAGUCUACGUCAAGAUAACCAGCGAUGACAACGCCAUAAGCAACGAGAUACUGAAACUCCCCAACUGUUGUUUAGAAUCAGAAAGGCCAGUCAUGCUAUUCGACAUGAACAAAUUCCAGCAGAAUGUCAACCGGGAAAUGCGACGCCAGUACCCUGACAGAUCUAAACUGGAGUUGCAGUGUGUCUGCGUCAUCGCCUUCGUCAAGAAUGAGUCUGAUCUCCUCGACUGUCCCAUCUGGGUCAUGAUCAUCAAUAUCGUUGCCAUGGAUAUGCUUAAGAGUAAAUUACCGCCAGCUAAAGUCGCCCCUAACAUCCGAAAUAGACCUAGGAUCCCCAUUCCUGAUGAGGACCCCUACAGUGUCGCAGGCUCUGGUGCUUCCUCCGGAUCCUCGGCCGGAAAGGACCGUAAGGAUAAGCCCCCCAAGUUGCCCCCACGAGACAAUCCCCACUACCCGCCUGGACCUGUGCCUAGAUCUAAUGGAAAGUCUGAUUAUGAUGUAUUGGAUGAAAAUGCAUUCCGCAAAUCAAAUACAAGAAAUAACAAGUCUAAGGAUCGUAAAUAUGAUGACCCUUACUACUGUGGCCUCCGUGCUCAUAUUCCCAACUUCGCCAAAGCUAAGUCGAAGGGUAAAGUUGAGCCGGCUCGAGCCCCAUACCUCAACGCUCCCCCACCCCCUAUGUGGCAUACCCGCAGCUUCGAUUCGGGCAUGGCUCUUUUGCAACACAACCAAGCCCAAAAUAUUCACAGGCUAGACCGCAACCCCUGCUCUUGGGUGCCAACGUUACCAGCAAGAAACGAAACUGAAUGGGAAUCGUACUGGGACUCAUGAACUGUGUAUCACACUUAGUCAAAAAAGUGGAAGCAUAAGAAUGGCGUCAAGAGGCUUCUAGACUCUGAUUUCACCGAAUCUCCAUACUCCCAACUGUACGGAAGACUUCCGCUGCCCAACCGAGCGUUCAUGCCACCACCACCACCCCUCCACCCUCGCUCCAUGUAUGUUGGCGAUUGGAACUGAGAUCCCACUGUGAGAAGGCAACUUGGAGGGGAAAGUUUAGGAAAGGAAAUCUGCAACUCCUCACUUCCCCAGGCAGUACAAGGAGGAGAAGUUGAGGGGUCAAUUACGGAGGGAUUUUUGAGACUCUCGGAAAUCAGAAGCUGAUUUUAUUGAGUCCUCUCCAUCCUGCAACUCGGUUAUUUUUCUGAUAUAUUUCGUUUUAUAUUAUGAUUUUCUCAUCUACAUCCCUUAGCUUCUUAUUUUCUCGUGUGUAUGAUUUUCCCAUUGAAAAUCAGACAGACUUGGAUCAAGUAGCGCAUAUUGCGUCAGAUGAGGGUGUGGCUGCAACAAAGCCUCAGUGUUUUUAUAUUAAAAAGGGGUGAAAACCUCUGAUAUCCUUCUGUAUGCAGUACUUUUGAAUAUUUGACGCCAUCAUAGACUUUGCUGACAGCUGUUAUCGGAGUAUUGAUAGUGAUCAUAAUAAUUCAAUAAGUUAUUUUUUAUGGUGUAAAUAAGGUUUUGUGGAAGUCCAGAAUUUGCAUAUUUUACCUUAAUCAAACAAGAGCCUUUCCUUUCUCAAAAGUAAUUUUUUUCACUUCAAUAUCCUUUUAUGGUUUAGUAUUUGAAGGGUUUCCACAUUCUAGGCAAACACCAGUCUCAAAUUUUAUGGUAAGAUAAAGCCUAGGGAACAUGAUAUUUUUCCUCUUAAAUGUAGGCCCAAAUGUGAUACUUUUGACAAGACUGUGAGCAACUGCCCAUACAUAUUUAGCAGUAUCAGAUUUGGCCAUUUUUGCAGGCAUAAUAUUUUAUUUAUAUAUAUUUUUUUUCAUUGCUGCACAUGGAACAAUCAGUGGACUUGUUACUUACUGCUGCUAUUUCUAUUUCUCUGGCAGCCAUAUUGGAUUGCCUGUUUUUCUGUUUCAGUAUUUUUAUGUUUUGUAAAUACUUGACAUUCGUGAGUGUAAAUGAUGGUAAUUAAAUGCAUAUUUCUCUCAUAAUCCCCUCAAUAUUUUUACAAAUUGAUGUGAAUCACCAUGCAAGCAUUUCUGUGUAUGUUGUACAGACAUUUAAUAAAUUGUUUAAUUAUUAGGGUUCUUGUACAUCCAGCUGGAAUGUAGAAAAUUAUGCCGUAUUUAACAUGACCUUUUGCAUCCUGAAAAUUUACAUUUAGUACAUGAUUUAUUUGCCAUAAUGUAAUGUACAAGGAACAUCAGAUGAGCACCUCUGUUGACUGAUUUGUUUUCUUUACAUGUACAUUUUACAAGACAAUAGCACCACAUACCAAAUGCUAUUGAUCAUAGUUGGAAGGAAAAAUGCCCAAAAUGUGGGUUCAAAUCACCAGUAACCUUUUUUUUUUGUCACCCAAGUUUUCCUGUUGAUCAUGACAUGCGAGAAAGGAUGCAAGACUGAACACCCUUGCCAGUAACCUACAUGUAAUCAUUUGUAAAUAAUGAUGGCAAUUACUUUCCAAGGCUUGAAUCCUUUCUCUACCUUGUUUAAUGUGUUUAUGUAUUUCUAUCUCUCUCCCUCUUCUCUUGAUAGCACACUAAUGGAUGAAAUAACUUCAUCCAAGAUGCGUAGUUAGGAUUGUUUCCACCAUUUAAUGUUGUACUCAUGAUUAUAAAUGUAUACUCAAACAUUUCUGCAAUAUUUUUAUAUGAGUGUUGUACACUUAUAUCUCACCCCACACACAUUUUUAAAAACAGUUCUAUUUACCCGAUUGUAACUACUGUAUAUGUGAUUAAAAUAACUGAUUUGA